rnacentral:lncRNA from 10 species
AGCUCCGAAGAUUUACCGCGGGCAGGAGGCCCCGCAAGACAGAUUCAGGAAUCCAGCAGCCAAAAACUGAAGCCGGCACUGAAAUUUCUGAAUAAAAAUAUCCCAGUGGGAGAGGGAGGGCCAUGUGGCUGUCUAGUGGCGCUCUGUGCUUGGUGCCAACUGCAUCUCUGAGGACUGACUGGCACAGAAGGCAUAGCCCGUCACCUGCGUCUGGUUUUUGCUCCUCAUUUUCUUCAAUUUUCACUCUAUUUAUAGUUGAGAACCUUCCAUUUCCCCCUGGUUGAAAUACAUUAGUUGCUAUGGAAACUGCGAUCCCCCCGGUGUGGAUGGAGCUGAAUGACACCUACAAUUGCAGAGCACGGUUGGCGUUGCCAGGGCUGGGAAAUGGGCGUCGUGGCUGGAGAGGGCACUGAAGGGCACAGAUGAGAAUAAUGACAGCACACAGCACGACCGUCAGGAACCGACGCAGCACCACUGGGUCAGAAGUUGUGGAAGAAGCCAUGGGUAACAGAAGCCCCCCAUGCCCUACACCACACAGAGGGGCGGGUCCCAUCAGAGGCCUAACCCCUGGAGGGCUCUCAUUUUCAAAACAUAAAAAAUGGAGCUAUAGCUGGUACUUGCAAAAAAAAAAAAAAAAAGAUGCAUUUUCAUUUUGAUAAAUACUAGAAUCAUUCUAUUUCGAAUGAGUAUUUUUGCCCUUCUGUAUGGGGUAUGAUGUCCCUCUUCCCACGUAUUUGAGCUCUUCAUGACGUAAGAGAGAGUUUAGCACGCAGCUCUGAAC